UACGUAGGUGGCAAGCGUUGUCCGGAUUCAUUGGGUUUAAAGGGUGCGUAGGCGGCUAUUUAAGUCAGUGCUGAAAUAUCACAGCUUAACUGUGAGGGUGGCAUUUAUACUGGAUAGCUUGAGUACAGACGAGGUGGGCGGAAUUGACGGUGUAGCGGUGAAAUGCAUAGAUAUCGUCAAGAACACCGAUAGUGUAGACAGCUUACUAGACUGUAACUGACGCUGAGGCACGAAAGUGUGGGGAUCAAACAGG
rnacentral:rRNA from 1 species